rnacentral:rRNA from 1 species
GUCUACCGCCAUACCUCCCUGAACGGGCUAUCUCGUCUGAUCUCGGAAGCUAAGCAGGGUCAGGCCUGGUUAGUACUUGGAUGGGAG